rnacentral:lncRNA from 1 species
AUGUCUGCCUCCCCUGAGGACUCCUCUGAACCUAUCCUAAAACAACAUUUAUCUAAAACACCAUGGAGUAAUCUAACACUCAUGGGAGCCAGAAAGACAGUGCCACAGUUACUUAUCUUCUCAAAUAUUGACUGUCCGAUUUUAAGCAAGACAACUUGCUCUGUGUGAUCUGUCAGCUGACAAACUGCAAGUCACGUUGUUUUUUGUUAGUUUGUUUUUUUUGUGGGUUUUGUGUGUGUGUGUGUGUGUGUGUGUGUGUUUGCAAGUCAUGGUUUUGAUGGACUCAUUUGUAUUUAGAUGUCUAUUUAACAUCAGUCAACAGCAUUUACUAUGUCUUGGCCUGUUUCUUAGGCAUUCACAAUAGUGAAUGACAGAAGAUGCCUGCCCUGUGAGAAUGUACAGACCAGAAAGGAAAAGGGAUUAAUAAACACAGUAAAUCUAGUAUGUCUGAUCAGUACCAGGGCGAGGGCAAGGGGAAGCAGAAUACUGUAGACACUUACACAAGUCCAGAGAGUCAGGGAAGUCUUCUUGGACGAUAAGCAGAUAUUAGCUAGGGAAAAAAAAAAAAAAAGGGGAGGGGAUCUUCCAGGCAGUAGGAAUAGCAUAUCCAAUGAAUAGCAUAAAAGCCUAAUUUAGUGUUCUCUUGUUCAUAGAUUAAUAGUUUUGAUGAGUUCCCAAAGGCUGAAAUGCAAAAGGUGACAUUUAGUAACUUAAAAUGUAUUAACUUAAAAAGACCAUGCUUUAUUUUCUGAUAUGGAUACCUUUCUUACUUUGGGGGUGUUAAAACAUCAUCUUUGCCCCAAAAUGAUAGUGACAGCAGAUGAUAAUGUAAUUCUUUAAAUAACGUCUUUGGCAAAAUAAGAUUUUCAAACUUGUGUUGAUUCCUAAAUUUUACUAGUCUAUGAAAUAGAGAAAGAAGUUCAUUCCCUCACCCUAUAUAAAAUUUUCUUUUUUUAUCUAUCCCUUUCUUGGUUAACACAAUUACUCAAAAAGUCUACAGGGUGCUAUGAUUUGUUAGUUCAGAGCAAACUGUUCAGGUAACAAUUGAACUAAGGGAUGGGAAUAUAAUCCAGCCCUUUGAAGACUCUAGUUGCUUGAUAGUUUCCUCUAUAGAAAGUACCUUCUGAACUCUUAAGCAUUCCAAAGAUCUGACAUUUGUCACUCGCAGAUUUAUUUUGAAACCCAGGUUUCUGGAUUGUUUUGACAUAUUCCUUAAAGUGUUUUUUUUUUUUUAAUAGUGCUUUGAAAAUUUUAUAGGUUUUAGAAAUUAAUUUGAUAAUUAUAUAUAUCACAGGCAAUUUAAUAUACCUAUCUAUCUAUCUAAGGACUUCCCUGGUGGCUCAGACAGUGAAGAAGCUGUCUGUAAUGUGGGAGACCCAAGUUCGAUCCCUGGGUGCGGAAGAGCUCCUGGAGAAGGGAAUGGCAAUCCACUCCAGUAUUCUUGCCUAGAGAAUUACAUGGAUAGAAGCUACAGGCC